rnacentral:rRNA from 1 species
GAUGAACGCUAGCGGCAGGCCUAAUACAUGCAAGUCGAACGGGUUGUUUCAGCAAUGGAACGAUCAGUGGCGCACGGGUGCGUAACGCGUAUGCAACCUACCUUAAACUGGGGGAUAGCCUUCCGAAAGGGAGAUUAAUACCGCAUAAGAUCACACGAGGGCAUCUGAGAGUGAUUAAAGAUUUAUUGGUUUAAGAUGGGCAUGCGUGCCAUUAGCUAGUUGGUGAGGUAACGGCUCACCAAGGCUACGAUGGCUAGGGGUUCUGAGAGGAUGAUCCCCCACACUGGUACUGAGAUACGGACCAGACUCCUACGGGAGGCAG